rnacentral:lncRNA from 1 species
UCUGCAGCAAAGGACUCGAGUUCUGCCAUUUCUUGUGGUGCAAGUUUCACAGAUAAAGCACCAAUGUUUUGGUUAAAAUUGUCAACUUUGGUGGUUCCAGGAAUGGGGCAGACACCAUUUCCUUGGUGGUGAACCCAUGCCAAUGCAAGCUGAGAUGGAGUGCAUCCCUUCUUCGUCGUCAUUUCAUUAACCCUCUCGAAUAUAGUCUUGUUCUUCUCCAGAUUCUCAGGUUGGAAUCUACCAGAUUCUGUAAGUGAACACAUAAGAUUAACCAAACUACUUGACUUGUUUAACUAUGUUGAGUUAAUUAGCAAUCAUCAUUAUUAUGUGAUAUAAUGCUAAGUAUAUAAAUAAAGGAAGAUCAAUACAGAAAUUAAUAGUGACUUCAUGAUUAAAGUUUGAACCAACGAAAAAUUGUAAAAAAUGCCAAGCUACACUUAAUUAUACAAAUGCACAAGUAAUUAGCAGUAAUUUGUGUUAACACAAACCUGUCUGAAGUCACCCUCAGACAAAUUCUCAAAAGAUCUUCAUGUUUCUUUGUGGCAAAAGAGAAUGAGAAGGAUGAAGAGGCCUUAUUUGUUCUCCUUUGCAGGCGCCCCAAGGCCUAAUGCACCGGAUUCCUUUAGAAACGAGCUGAUCAGACAAGGCCAAUCUUUAGAAGUUGCAAACUCCUUGGAUGCUACAGGGGGAAAAACAACAAAAAUAUUUCUGAAGAUCCGGUCAGCAUCAUGAGUGUUUUUCAAAGAUCAAUUUGCUUGGAGCCGUCCGACGAUUCCUACACGAGGAGAUCAACUUUCGACGCAAUCUUUGCCGGCUGCAUACCGGUUUUUUUCCAUCCAAAGUCAGCUUAUGAACAAUAUAGAUGGCAUUUACCAAAAGACUAUUUGAGCUACUCUGUGUUCAUACCUGAAGGUGAUGUUAGAGAGAACAAAUCAAUUAUCAAUGACACAUUGGCUAGGGUUUCUAGGACUAGAAUUUCUAAGAUGAGAGAAGUUAUUAUUCCAAGAGUUACAUAAAAUGAACCAAGGUCUAGAUUAGGGAAAGUUGAGGAUGCAUUUGAUAUAGCAGUUAAGGGUAUUAUAAUAUUAUUAGAAGAGUAGAAGAAAUGAGAAGGGAGAUUUCAUCAUCAACAAACAAUGGUUAUUAUUCUAAUGAAUGAAGAUGGUUCAUAUGGUCUCGAAUUUGCUCAUGGGUUUUUCUCACACUUUUGGAGAUGAUCAUGCAUGCAUGGAUGAUGUUGUUAGUUAGAAAUCUUCAUUACAAAUCAGUUGAAAGGUCUAAUUAUUUGCAUUUCAUUUUUGUGUUUGAUAUUCGUCAGAGUCAGAAAAAUCUUUGACAUAUUGAAUUAAGUCUUAGUAUUAUGAAUACCAAAUAUUACUAUAUAUUGCUUCAAUUAGAAUAGAAAAAUGAAAUUCUUACAUGAUACAAAUAGUUAUCUUUUUAAUGUUUUUCAUGACACAAAAAAAUUUAUGGUUGGCCAGUUGAGUGAUUUAUAAACAUUUUUAUUAAUUGUUUUAAAAAUUCAUGAUGAAACCGAGAUGUAAACUAUGUUUUGUAGAAUACAUAUGAAGUUAUCUGCAAUAGAAUCCAAAAACCACUUCGAAGUUAAGAAUACAAAAUCAGCAGCCAGAAAUUUGAAAGAUUCACUGAUGUAACCAAAUUCAUUUCAAAAGGGAACACCUAAAUUCCCUUCAUACUGAUCUAUUUAUUGAAAGUAUCAACACUCCAGAGGGUGAAAUAGUAAAUUAAACAUUAAGUGAUGAACUUGAUUAAACAACUUUCCAAGAAGAAAGUGGUGGAGUAUCAGAGUUCUUCCAUGUAGGUAUAAGAUCAUCUGGAUAUCUACCACCCUUGACAACAUCUGCGGCAGCAAAGGACUCGAGUUCUGUCAUUUCUUGUGGUGUAAGUUUCACAGACAAGGCUCCAAUGUUGUCGUUAAGGUUCUCAAUUUUGGUGGUUCCGGGUAUGGGGCAGACAUCAUUGCCUUGGUGGUGAAGCCAUGCCAAUGCAAGCUGAGAUGGUGUGCAUCCUUUCUUUGCGGCCAUUUCAUUGACCCUCUCAAAUAUAGUCUUGUUUGACUCCAGGUUUUCAGGUUGAAAUCUAGGCAGAGCCUGCAAACACACAAGUUUUUUUUUUUUAUGAACAUUUGAAAAACAUAAUAUAGUAAGAUGCAAGUGUUAUGAAAUGAAUAUAUAUUAUCAUAUAUCUUUUUAGGUCACUGAUCAACAAAAUCCUAAUAAUAUUAGUAGGUAACUUAUAUACUAAAGUUUGACUUGUUAAGAUUUCUGAAGGACACCAAGUUUUUAAAUAGGUGAAAAUAUGUAACUGAGUACAAAACAUGAUUAUGGAAAUGCACAAGUGAUCAGAGCAUGAAUUUCUGUAAUCGCACACGUGUGACACAAACCUUCCUGAAGUCGUCCUGUGAUAAAUUAUCAAGCAACUUUGAUCCGGAUGAAAAGAAUCCGCGGCCAAGAGGACUAUAUGCAACAAUUCCAAUGCCAAGUUCCCUGAAAAGGACAAUAGUUGGAAGCCAAAAAUUCAGACAUUGUAUCAUGAUGUUUUAUGAGAAGUCCUAGAAAGAGAUUUUCUUGUUAACAAGAACAUUAAUACUUAUGAAUGAUUAGAUUCAAACCUGCAACUUGGAAUCACUUCUUCCUCAACAUCUCUUGUCCAAAGAGACCAUUCAAUUUGCACAGCUGUUAUGGGAUGAACAGCAUGUGCUCUUCUGAUUGUUGAAGCCGAUGCCUCACUUAGACCGAUGUACUUUAUUUUUCCCUCCUCAACAAGCUUCUUAAGCUCCCCCAUCUUGAUUAAAAUUUACAAGGGAAAAAUUUGAAGUCAUCAUACACAACCCUUAAUAUAUGUAAUUAUCUCAUUUCCUAGCUCUAGGAUUGUAACAGAUGUCAAUUCCAAAACAUGUCGCAUACUCGCAUUUCCUUAACUAUAUGAUAUAAAAGCUUGGAAAUAGACUAAAGCAUUAUAGGAUACAAAGACAUAUAUUCUAAAUGCAGAUUGGGGUUAUUGUAUAGCACAAUACAAGGCUAAGUAAGUUUUUUGUUGAUGCAAACAUGGUGAUUUAAACCUACCAAAUUACAUAAACUACCUAAUUGUAAGUUAACCUAUGUAUAUCUGGAAUAAUAGUAGACAAUUUACAAGGUUUAACUUCCCUGAAUAAAUAAUUUCAAGUUGGUGAUAACAGAGCUAUCAUAAGACAAAAAAAGAAGAACAAAGAAAGGGGUAAAACCGUGACUUCAAUUGGCACGCGAGUAUCAACUCUAUGCUGGAAAUAGAGAUCAAUGCAAUUAAUGUCAAGUCUCUUCAAGCUUCUUUCACAGGAAGCUCUCACAUAUUCUGGAUCUCCAUGGAUCUCAAACUUUCCAUCCUCAAUAAAAUUGAUUGAAAACUUGGUUGCCAAUUCAACCUUCUCUCUCAGCCCUCCCUUCAAAGCCUGCCCCAAAAUUGAAAUUAACUACAACAAAAGCGCAUGAUAUCUUCACAUAGAAAAAGUAGAUAUCCCAAGAACAUUUUUUAUUUUUGUUUUGGUUACUCAGCAUAUCCACCAUCAAACACAAUGACUAAUCCUCAAAAGACAUGAUACAAAAUUUUCUGUCUUAUUUUAUCUCAUGAGAUAGCAAGUAACUACUAUAUGCAAUUAACAUUAGUCUAAUUAAAACUAAGGGAACUUCUCAGAAGAACAUAAGGAAUCAAAAGAAAAUCCAAAAGGGUAUCUGAAUCAAAGUUCAAGAAGGAACCUUUCCAAUUAGAAUUUCAUUGGUGUGAGGGCCAUAAACAUCAGCAGUGUCAAGGAAAGUGACCCCACUUUGAACAGCAUGCUGAAUGAGAGCAACCAUGUCAGGCUCUGGUUUUGGAGGUCCAUAGACAGCAGACAUUCCCAUGCAACCAAGUCCUUGCUGAGACACUUCCAAGCCCUGUGAUCCCAGCUUCAUUCUUCCAACUUUAGCCAUUGUUGUGAUGUGAAGAUGGUAGUAACCCUAUGAUAUCAGUGAUCAGAAUAUAUAGAAGAAGCUGAAUGAAGAAGCUUUGUGAAUGUCUCUCACUUCUCAACUAAAAAGCAGCUCACACUUCCUAAUUCGUAUAUUAUACAUCUAUAAUAACAAAGGUGAUGAAUUUUAAAGGACAUAUAUACUUUUGUCAAAUAUUUCUCCACAAAGCAUAAAGCUUAUCAAAACCAUUUACAGGACUAGUAUUUUGUAAAAAGGAGAAAGUGUGUAAUUUUCUUUUUCAAAAAGAAAAAAUGACUUAAUUCACUUUUAUUGGUUCACAUAAUAUUUCUUAUUCAUUUCUUUUCUUUUAUUAUAAAUUUUUUAUUUUUUUAUUCUAAUGCACACAUGACACUUGUUUUUAUAUUCUUGAUCAUAUAAAACACAUCUUUCUGUCCUAUUGAUAGCAUUCACUUUCGAAAGGAAUCACUUUAAAGAUGCUGUUUUUUUUUUUAAAGAAAAAAUUAUAUACUGCUAUAAAGAGUGUGCAAAUGUUUUUCUUAGACCAAAGACUUGGCAUAUGGACAUGGUAUCAGUCAUGAUCACACACCUUUCUAAUAUUUUACUGGUCUAAGGUUCUGCAUAUGAUGAUAGUGUAUUUUGUUUUUUGUUUUUUGUUGUUUUAAAGUAAAUAUUUAAUUUUGUUCUUAAAAUUGUAUUGUUGAAUUAAUUUGAUCUUUAAAAUUUUUUUUAAAAAAGUGAGUUACAUUAGUUUUGGUAAAUACAAGGAGGAAGAAUGAAAAUAGAGUAAAUGAUCAUUUUUGGUAUAUUUUGCCAAAUUUCAAUCAUUUUUAGAAGGUCAAAAUAUUAUUUUAUUUUUCUUUCAAGGGUUAUUCUGUAAAAAUUUUUUUGAAUCUUUUGAUAAUAAAAUAGUAGUUUANNNNNNNNNNNNNNNNNNNNNNNNNNNNNNNNNNNNNNNNNNNNNNNNNNNNNNNNNNNNNNNNNNNNNNNNNNNNNNNNNNNNNNNNNNNNNNNNNNNNNNNNNNNNNNNNNNNNNNNNNNNNNNNNNNNNNNNNNNNNNNNNNGAAUCAUUCAGAUAUGAAACUUUGCUUCCUUAGUCAAAGAUUAAUAGUAGAAGGAAUGCCAUUGCACUUUUGAUGUGCUUAACAACUUAAGCCUUUUGUUUUUUUAGACAUAGAAUUAUAGAAACACAAACACAUCAAAUUAUCUGCAUCAGAGUUCAAACUUCAAACCACUUAAUUAAUUAAAAGAACAAAUCAACAGCAAGAAAAUUAAACAUCUUUCCAAGAAGAGAGUGGUGGAGUAUCAGAGUUCUUCCAUGUACUCAGAUCUCCGGCGUAUCUAUCACCCUUGACAGUGUCCGCGGCAGCAAAGGACUCGAGUUCUGCCAUUUCUUGUGGUGCAAGUUUCACAGAUAAAGCAGCAAUGUGUUGGUUAAAAUUGUCAACUUUGGUGGUUCCAGGAAUGGGGCAGACAUCAUUUCCUUGGUGGUGAACCCAUGCCAAUGCAAGCUGAGAUGGAGUGCAUCCCUUCUUCGCCGCCAUUUCAUUAACCCUCUCGAAUAUAGUCUUGUUCUUCUCCAGAUUCUCAGGUUGGAAUCUAGGCAGAUUCUGU